GGAAGUAUCGUAACAAGGUCUCCGUUGGUGAACCAGCGGAGGGAUCAUUACAGAGUUGCAAAACUCCCAAACCAUUGUGAACGUUACCUAUCCCGUUGCUUCGGCGGGCGGCCCGGGCCCCGCGCCCGGCGCCCCCCGGCCCCCCGUGGGCGCCCGCCGGAGGUAAACCAAACCCUUGAAUUGCAUGGCCUCUCUGAGUCUUCUGUACUGAAUAAGUCAAAACUUUCAACAACGGAUCUCUUGGUUCUG
rnacentral:misc_RNA from 1 species